rnacentral:misc_RNA from 1 species
GUGAAUCAUCGAAUUUUUGAACGCAAAUUGCACUCUCUUCGGAGAGUAUGCCUGUUUGAGGGUCAGUAUCAAUAAAAAUCUCUGUGUUGCUUCUUUGUGACGCUCCGGAGUUUGGGUCAUCUUAAUAUCCUUUAGGUUGUAAGAGGCUUAAAAUUGACUUUUUUUUCGCAUUUUGGAUGUACAUAAAUUCUUUUUUUUAUUCGUCUGUAUUAAUGCUUAUAAUCUUAUCAUAUGCUACAGUAUCGUGUGCU